UUAACUUUGCCACCGGGUAAAGUUGUAUUAGGUGUUCUUAAACAUUCCGAUAGGUCGUAGAAGGGAUGUUAUAGGACACCUAUUUUAG
rnacentral:ncRNA from 1 species